AAAGCGUGCGCAGGCGGUUAUGUAAGACAGAUGUGAAAUCCCCGGGCUCAACCUGGGAACUGCAUUUGUGACUGCAUAGCUAGAGUACGGUAGAGGGGGAUGGAAUUCCGCGUGUAGCAGUGAAAUGCGUAGAUAUGCGGAGGAACACCGAUGGCGAAGGCAAUCCCCUGGACCUGUACUGACGCUCAUGCACGAAAGCGUGGGGAGCAAACAGGAUUAGAUACCCUUGU
rnacentral:rRNA from 1 species